CCUACGGGAGGCAGCAGUGAGGAAUUUUGGACAAUGGGCGAAAGCCUGAUCCAGCAACGCCGCGUGGACGAUGAAGGUCUUCGGAUUGUAAAGUCCUGUCGAGUGGGAAGAACGGCGCGAGGGUUAACAGCCUUCACGUCUGACUGUACCACCAGAGGAAGCCCCGGCUAACUCCGUGCCAGCAGCCGCGGUAAU
rnacentral:rRNA from 1 species